CUAGCCGGCGGGUAGCUCUUUGUAGCUCUCACAUGGUCGCCCACUGAAGCAAAGCAGGGCUGCGCCCGGUCUUUACCUGGAUUGGAGACCACAUGGGAAAAUUUGGUUGCUGGCGAAA
rnacentral:rRNA from 1 species